CUUAAAAUGGAGAACAGGUGACUAGUGUAUCCGUUCGAUUCCUCACAACAGUUAGCACAAAGAUGACUGGCUUGCGGAGACCAAGCUGCCAUAGCGAUGUCACUGACUCACCCUUCAGCGUUGGCCCUUCCUGUCGUUGUGAAGCACAGUUCGCCAGCUGCUGCACCGUGAGCUGGGGUCAGACUGUCAUGAGACAGGUUCGUUGUGCCCAGCUGAGGGGGUGCUGCUGUAGUACUGCAGUAAUCCCCCUCAGUAGGACAGGACCUGCAGGUGUCUGUAGUGGCUGUACUUGGCUGAGGAGCCAGAGGUGUGAAGCUGCCAUCUGUGGGUUCAUGGCUGAACACCUGUAAGUCAGAAUCCCCCCUCAUUUGUCACAAUUAAUCCCCUCUAGUGCAUUUAAAAACCAUAAUAUCUGAUAUGGGCCUGGGAUACCCAAGAUCCCUUGGCAUAUAGAGAACAUUUGGUACAAGCUACUAAGAUCCCAUCUUAAUAUGAAUUGCUUGGGAGACGCAUUAUAUUAACCUGUCUGC
rfam:Lepisosteus oculatus linkage group LG5, whole genome shotgun sequence.